rnacentral:rRNA from 1 species
CCUACGGGAGGCAGCAGUGAGGAAUAUUGGUCAAUGGUCGGGAGACUGAACCAGCCAAGCCGCGUGAGGGAUGAAGGUACAGAGUAUCGUAAACCUCUUUUGUCAGGGAACAAAGGCGGGGACGCGUCCCCGGAUGAGUGUACCUGAAGAAAAAGCAUCGGCUAACUCCGUGCCAGCAGCCGCGAUAAUACGGAGGAUGCGAGCGUUAUCCGGAUUUAUUGGGUUUAAAGGGUGCGCAGGCGGUCUGUUAAGUCAGCGGUCAAAGCCCGGGGCUCAAACCAGCCCCGCCGUUGAAACUGGCAGUCUGGAGUUGGAGAGAAGUAUGCGGAAUGCGCGGUGUAGCGGUGAAAUGCAUAGAUAUCGCGCAGAACUCCGAUUGCGAAGGCAGCAUGCCGGCUCCACACUGACGCUGAGGCACGAAAGCGUGGGUAUCGAACAGGAUUAGAUACCCCAGUAGUC